ACAAGAAUUGCUGGGUUAAUUCAUUGGUCAAUUAUUUAUAAAAACUGCCAGGCUGUUUUUAAAAAUGGUUGUACAUUUUAUACUCUCACUGGCAAU
rnacentral:pre_miRNA from 1 species